rnacentral:misc_RNA from 1 species
CAGACUUGUUAGCAGUGCAACCUGAACUAUCCAAGACAAAGCAAGGUCCCUAUCUCUUAAGGAAACUAGAUAUUGACAGAUUUGCUAAACGGCCUGAUCAAUGGAAGUCCAUGCAAGCAUCAAAACAAUCAACGUACAAAGAAUUUUAUGCUGCGUUUGGAUCUAAUGAAAACAAGCCAUCAAGAAGUGACUCAUUUCUCGCUGAUACUUCCAAGAAUACAUCACAACCAAAAGGAAUAAAGAAAAUGAGGAAAGAGAUUGAUUAUCAUCUGACAUCUGAGAAAAACAGAAAGGGUCGUGCUGUUUCUGAGACUGUUGGAACAUCAAAGAAAGUAGUGGAAAGCACACACCAGAUACCGUUCCUAUCUACUGAUAUGAAGGGGAAGAAGCGACACAGAAAGCAUAAACCUAUAAAAGUUUCAAAAAAGAAGUUAAAAGUA